rnacentral:lncRNA from 1 species
AAGUUCAAGCAAUCCCAGCAGGAGUAGCGGCUGCAACACCCUUUAUCUGUAAAUGAGUUCAUUUCAUAAAUCAAUUUAUUGACAUAUAUGGAUCAAUGCAUUUAUUAAGUACUCUUCUGGUACAAAAGCAGGCUUGUAAUUCCAUGUGGAAAAAUCGAAUUUCUUCCAAAAAUGCCCAAGUUUCAACCAAGUUGAUAUCUUUUAAAAGAACUUAAA